GCGCACCAGGCGCGAAUCCUCCGCAAUACACGAAAGUGUGACGGGUUACCCAAAGUGUCCAAAUUUGGACUGUGGUAGGUGAGUAAUGUCCCCUACUAGAAAGGAGAGGGCAAGGCUGGUGCCAGCCGCCGCGGUAAAACCAGCUCUUCAAGUGGUCGGGAUAAUUAUUGGGCUUAAAAGUGUCCGUAGCCGGUUUAGUAAGUUCCUGGUAAAAUCGGGUAGCUUAACUAUCUGUAUGCUAGGAAUACUGCUAUACUAGAGGGCGGAGAGGUCUGAGGUACUACAGGGGUAGGGGUGAAAUCCUGUAAUCCUUGUAGGACCACCAGUGGCGAAGGCGUCAGACUGGAACGCGCCUGACGGUGAGGGACGAAAGCCAGGGGAGCGAACCGG
rnacentral:rRNA from 1 species